UACGAAGGGGGCGAGCGUUGUUCGGAAUUACUGGGCGUAAAGGGCGCGUAGGCGGCCGAUCAAGUCAGAUGUGAAAGUCCUGGGCUUAACCUGGGGACUGCAUUUGAUACUGAUUGGCUUGAAUGCAGGAGAGGAUAGCGGAAUUCCCAGUGUAGAGGUGAAAUUCGUAGAUAUUGGGAGGAACACCGGUGGCGAAGGCGGCUAUCUGGACUGUGAUUGACGCUGGAGGCGCGAAAGCGUGGGGAGCAAACAGG
rnacentral:rRNA from 1 species